rnacentral:rRNA from 1 species
GACGAACGCUGGCGGCGUGCCUAAUACAUGCAAGUCGAACGGACUGACUGGGAGCUUGCUCUUGUUCGGUCAGCGGCGGACGUGUGAGUAACACGUGGGCAACCUGCCCGCCAGACCGGGAUAACUCCGGGAAACCGGAGCUAACACCGUAUAACACCGAAGUCCACGUGGUCGUUGGUUGAAAGGCGGCGCAAGCUGCCACUCGCGGCCGAGCCCGCGGCGGGUUAGCUAGUGGGCGAGGUAACGGCGCACCAAGGGGCGGAUGGGGAGCCCGCCUGAGGGGGUGGGCAGCCACACUGGGACUGAGACACGGCCCAGACUCCUUGAGGAGGCGGCAGUAGGGAUUCUGGAGGAAUGAGUGAGAGACAGAGCGCGCGAGGCGGCGUGAGCGAAGAAGGCCGUCGGGUCGUAAAUCUCUGUUUUGAGGGACGAAGGAGCGUCGUUUGAAGAAGGAGGGGCGGUGACGGUACCUGACGAGGAAGCCCCGGCUAACUACGUG